GAUGAACGCUGGCGGCGUACCUAAUACAUGCAAGUCGAGCGAACAGACGAGGAGCUUGCUCCUCUGACGUUAGCGGCGGACGGGUGAGUAACACGUGGAUAACCUACCUAUAAGACUGGGAUAACUUCGGGAAACCGGAGCUAAUACCGGAUAAUAUAUUGAACCGCAUGGUUCAAUAGUGAAAGACGGUUUUGCUGUCACUUAUAGAUGGAUCCGCGCCGCAUUAGCUAGUUGGUAAGGUAACGGCUUACCAAGGCAACGAUGCGUAGCCGACCUGAGAGGGGGAGCGGCAAAACGGGAAAUGAGACACGGUCAAGACUCCGACGGGAGGCAGAAGAAGGGAAUCUUCAGAAAUGGGAGAAAGCCUGAAGGAGCACGGCCGCGUGAGGGAGGAAGGUUUUAGGAUAGAAAAACGUUGUUAUUAGGGAAGAAAAAAUGUGUAAGGAAAUAUGCACGUCUUGACGGUACAUAACAAGAAAGCCACGGCUAACUACGUG
rnacentral:rRNA from 1 species